AAACUGGGGGGAGUUGUGUUCAGACAACACGCGGAGUCCCACGUGUGUCCCAUCUCUGUGUUAAAUAGUCUGGUGUGUGGGGGAGGCAGAGGACCAACAGACGCUUUGAAGAGGAGUUCCCCGCACCCUCAUGACAAAGCCCUCGUGUUGUGUUCUCUCCUCAGGAAGGCCCGGACAGCUGUGGUGUUUGGCAGGAAAGCCUCUGAAUCUGGUUUCCCCACUUUGGAGCCGGAGGUUCUGCGAGACGUCCGGGAAGCCUGUCAGCUCCGCUUCCAGUUUCUCAAGACCCUCUUCGAG